rnacentral:lncRNA from 1 species
GAGGAUUAUGGAAUGGAAGGAAUCAGCUGGCAUAAUAGGGAUUAUCAUGAUAAUAGCUGUUGUAUGCAUCUCAUUAGCACAAAACCAACAGGACUCUGCAGUUUGGAUGAAGAAAGCAAGGCUGAACCAGAAGAUGUCAUGGGUUUAUUACAGCCCAUGGCCUGGACGUUCCCCAUCUCUGUUCCUGGGGAACAAAGUAUAAUGAUGAGAGGAGAGUCCUCCAGGUGAUGGGAUGAGUCCUCACUGACUUGCCUACAUGAGGAGCUGGUAGGUGCACACAUGUGUACAUGUCAUACAAGUCCUCACAGAGGUGUUUUGUGAAGCCACUUCCACUCAGAACAGUCUAUCACUACACUUCUGAUCCUGUUGUUUGCGAUGAAUGUAUUUUUAACCUUGUAAGGGAUCUUCAGAAGGUUGAUAGCAAAAUGCAAUUGAAUGAUAACAUCCCUGGAAACUUUUAAAGCUGCCUUGACAACACAGAUUAGUCUAGACCCUCAUCUCUGUCAUGUAAGCCCCUUGCUUUCCUCUCCUGUCUCUGGAACUUUAAGCUCAUUGUCUUGUGUUGUGUCCCCUUCCACCCUGUGCUUUGCAAGGUGAUGUUUCUGCUUGCAUACAAUCCCUAGGUGACCAUAUCUAGUUUAACAGUCCAUUUAUGUUAAUAUUCAAAUACUUUUCUGAAAGUUCCCUUGGACUGCAGACUCGAUCCAUCUUCUUACUUCAAGUGUGUGUAGAGAUGUAGUGCAGUGGGUGUGAGUGGGUGUGUUUGAGCUGCUGCUCCUGCACCUAGUGUGCGAUAGCCAGCACCUCUGCGACUUAGUUUCUUCAUGUAUAAACUGGGAAUGCUAUUUUUCUCAUAGGCUUUCAGUAGGGUAAAAUAAGAUUGAGACAAGGGGCCGGCGCAGUGGCAUAGUGAGUUCAGCCACUGUUUGAGGUGCUGACAUGCCAUAUAGCUUCUGGUUCGAGUCUUGGCUGCUUCACUUCUAAUCCAGCUCCCUGCUAAUUGCCUGGGAAAGAAGCCUAGGAUGACCCAAGUGCUUGGACCCCUGCACCCAUGUUGGAGACCUGGAUGAAGCUCCUGGCUUUGCCCUGGCCUAGCCCUGGCUGUUGUGGCCCAUUUGGGGAGUGAAUCAGCAGAUGGAAGAGAUCUCUUUGUAAUUCUUUUAAAUAAAUAAAUCUUCAAAAAAAGAUUAAGAUAAUAC